AUGCCAGGGUCAGAGCAGCACGUGUGGGGGAGGCGGCGGGCGGCGUGUGUGUAUGUGUGUGUGUGCGGACGCGCGCACGCGUGUGGGGUAUAUGCGCAGGGACGCACCUUCCCGCAGCCGGGCACCUCCACGCCAUCCACAGGCCGCGGGAUCUCGAUGGACUUGACGAGCCCAUACUUGCCGCACUCAUCUCGCACAUCCUCCACGAUCUCCUCAUACUCCUCGUCGUCCAGCAGCUCCUCAGGCAGCACCAUGUUCAUCAGGCACAGCACCUCUGUCGGGUGGCCCCCCCCCCCCCCCCCCAGGGGCGGCUGGCGGCCGCGGCGCUCUCGGGCGCUUACGGCGCGAAGCAUCCUGGGAGUUGUAGUUCUCCCGGAAGCCCGACCAACGAUCGGAUCCAAGAGGCGGUUGCUGGGAUGGGACCAAGGCCCGGCAAAGACGGGUCGGGGCGCGGGGUCGGGCGUACCCCCUUUCCAGCAUCGACCCCCCCCUGUCUGUGGGAGAAGCCCCAGGGCGGGGNNNNNNNNNNNNNNNNNNNNNNNNNNNNNNNNNNNNNNNNNNNNNNNNNNNNNNNNNNNNNNNNNNNNNNNNNNNNNNNNNNNNNNNNNNNNNNNNNNNNCUCUUGUCUGUGAUAGAAUCCUGAGCAGGGGUCGCCCUGUCACUCCUGGCCCACCCCCAGGUCCUCGGGGUUCCCGUUACUCCCAAGAGGGAAACCGAGGCCCGCAGUGUUGGCGGUUGCGGGCGUCUGUCGCCUGCUCGCGAGUGCGGCUGUCGGGCAACCUGGGCCUGGCUUUGCAGGGGGCUCGCCCAGGGCACUAAGGACUCCUGGGGGCUUAGGGACCGCCGGGACCGUUCUGAACCCCCUGUCUGCCCUUACCAUGUUCACCAGCCUCCAAGCCACACCGGCUUUUCUGCAGGCCCUCCAACCCACGUUCUCAGCCAGGGCGCUACUGACAUCUGGGCUGACCUCUCCUUGCUGUGGGGGCUGUCUUGUACCUUGCAAGCUGGUUCAGCCUGGCCCCCACCCACCAGAGGCCAAUAGGGCUCUCUCUAGCACACCUUAAGACGGCCCCCUCCAGGCCUGGCCACAGUCCUCUGGUUGAGAACCACUGUUCCAAGGCAACGCCCCUCGGCCUGAUGGCCAUGCCUCAUGUCACCCCGUACCCCAUUCCUUCUCAAUUCCUACUGGAAAGUCGCUAUGUUAGGGAUAGAAUCGGAUAGUCAUAUAGGUAGCUGCAGAUAGGGAAACCUAGGAAACUUUGGGAGGCCACUGUAAGUUGAUGAUCACUCAAGAAAGUUACUGGACCGUGUUCCCUCCCCCGUGUUCCUUUAACUGUAAAAUUGUAGCCCACUUAAUCCUUGGUGGCAGGGAGGGGCGUCCCUGGUGGCUCAGAUGGUAAAGAAUCCACCUGCAAUGCAGGAGACACGGGUUUGAUCCCUGGGUUUGGGAAGAUCCCCUGAGAAGGAAAUGGCAACCUGCUCCAGUAUUCUUACCUAGAGAAUGCCAUGGACACAGGAGGCUGGUGGGUCUUCACUCCCUGUGGUUGCAAAGAGUCCCUCACAACUGAGCAACUUUUUUUUUUAAUCCUUGCGGGCAGAGCUCCCUCACCUGCCCAAUUUCACCUCUUACAAGCAUCCUAUACCAAUAACUCUACUUAUUCCUAUCACUUUGUCUCACUGAAUUCUUUGUGUGAUGAGACCUCAAGAAUCUGAGUUUCAUUAAGUCAUGAGACCAGCUGUGUGAUCUUAGUUGGAAGACCGUGGGUUUGGGCCGGGUUCCAGUACCAAGCUGAGGUGAACGGUCUCCCCUUUGCUAGGUGGAAGUCCCAUUACAUGCUCAUCUCUGCUCCAUGUCAGAGGGGUGGGGUCUGCCUUUGCCACCCAGGUGUCCCCAACAACCAACAAGGGGCCCUGUCAGGAGCAGGCGGCACUCUUGAAUGAGUGAAGUUCUACAGCCUCCCAGAUGGUUGGACCAUAAAGAAGGCUGAGCACCUAAGAAUUGAUGCUUCGGAAUUGUGGUGUUGGAGAAGACCCUUGAGAGUCCCUUGGACUGCUAGGAGAUCCAACCAGUACAUCCUAAAGGAAAUCAACCCUGAAUACCCAUUGGAAGGACUGAUGCUGAAACUCCAAUACUUCGCCUACCUGAUUUGAAGAGCCUGAUGCUGGAAAAGACUGAGGGCAGGAGGAGAAGGGGGCGACAGAGGAUGAGAUGGUUGGAUGGCACCACCGACUCAAUGGACAUGAGUUUGAGUAAACUCCGGGAGAUGGGGAAGGACAGGGAAGCCUGGCUUGCUGCAUGCAGUUCACGGGGUCACCAAGAGUCGGACUCGACUUAUCGACUGAACAGCAAAAGGCGGUUCCCCAAGGCCCCCAGGCAGGCUGGGGCCGGGGUUAUCUGAGUGGUCAGACCUGUCCUGACCAGCAGGGUCUUUAUGAAAUCCCCAGUGAGUUCAUGAAUAUAAAGCCCUUGUCUUACAGCUCAGCCCCAACAUUGCUCUCCUUUAGCUCUUCUUUACCUCCCCUGCCAGAAAAGAGGCCCUGGAGGGACACCUGAGCAGAGCACUGAAUGGUCCAGGAGGACAAGUGCGGGGCUAGGGAAGAGCUGCAGUCUGCGCCCCCGGGGUCUGUAUCCCUGGCUCUUCCACACGCCAGGCCCCGCCCCUGACCCGGGCUUGGGGAAGGAGGGAGGAGCCCCCAUGAGCAGCGGGAUCCCCUUCUCUGGGGCCUGGGGCCUCUUUGGGGAAGGGAAAAUAAAAUCUGCAGAUCUGGCAAGCUCAUUUUCGAAGCAGCAGUAACAGCCCUGUGGGGCGCCUGAUGGAAAGCCAGCACCAUGUCUGGCUCCCGAGGGACACGGGCGGGAGGAGUCGUGCCCCUCACCAGCCUUGCCUGCACUGGAGCCCACGGAGCUUUGACUGUGGACUCCUCGGCACAACCCUGCGCCGGACGUCACGGGCCCUGACCCAGAGGGGCCAGCGGACACAGACAUCACAGGAGGUCAUCAGAGGCACCCGGUCCAGGCUCCGGAGCCUCUAUUGGGACAUAGCCACACGGGCCGGGGGCCGGGGGUGUGGGGUGCAGCAAAAGUUGGGCCCCAGUGAGUUUACAAAGUGUUAGUUGCUUCAGUGGCGUCAGACUCUGUGACCCCAUGGACUGUAGCCCCCAGGCUCCUCUGUCCAUGGGAUUCUCCAGGCAAGAGUAUUGGGGUGGGUUGCCAUUUCCUUCUCCAGGGGAUCUUCCCAACCCAGGGUUUGAACCUCAGUCUCCUGCAUUGAAACUCUUCACCAUCUGAGCCUCUACAGGGGGUGAGGGGUGGCAAUAAACGGGAAAUAAUAACGCAUGUCCUAUGACUGUGGCUCAGAUCAUGAGCUCCUUAUUACCAAAUUCAGACUUAAAUUGAAGAAAGUACGGAAAACCACUAGACCAUUCAGGUAUGACCUAAAUCAAAUCCCUUAUGAUUAUACAGUGGAAGUGAGAAAUAGAUUUAAGGGAUGAGAUCUGAUAGGGUGCCUGAUGAACUAUGGACUGAGGUUCGUGACAUUGUACAGGAGACAGGGAUCAAGACCAUCCCCAUGGAAAAGAAAUUCAAAAAAGCAAAAUGGCUGUCUGGGGAGGCCUUACAAAUAGCUGUGAAAAGAAGAAAAGUGAAAAGCAAAGGAGAAAAGGAAAGAUAUAAGCAUCUGAAUGCAGAGUUCCAAAGAAUAGCAAGAAGAGAUAAGAAAGCCUUCCUCAGCAAUCAAUGCAAAGAAAUAGAGGAAAACAACAGAAUGGGAAAGACUAGAGAUCUCUUUAAGAAAAUUAGAGAUACCAAGGGAACAUUUUAUGCAAAGAUGGGCUCGAUAAAGGACAGAAAUGGUCUGGACCUAACAGAAGCAGAAGAUAUUAAGAAGAGGUGGCAAGAAUACAUGGAAGAACUGUACAAAAAAGAUCUUCAUGACCAAGAUAAUCACGAUGGUGUGAUCACUCACCUAGAGCCAGAUAUCUUGGAAUGUGAAGUCAAGUUGGCCUUUGAAAGCAUCAGUUCGAACAAAGCUGGUGGAGGAGAUGGCAUUCCAGUGGAGCUAUUUCAAAUCCUGAAAGAUGAUGCUGUGAAAGUGCUGCACUCAAUAUGCCAGCAAGUUUGGAAAACUCAGCAGUGGCCACAGGAUUGGAAAGGUCAGUUUUCAUUCCAGUUCCAAAGAAAGGCAAUGCCAAAGAAUGCUCAAACUACCACACAAUUCCACUCAUCUCACAUGCUAGCAAACUAAUGCUCAA
ensembl:lincRNA